AAGUGUUUCAGAUUGGGUAAAACCAAACAUAGAAAUAUGUAUUGUGUUUUCAUUAGAAUCAGCACAAAAAUUUACACAUUAUUUUCCAACAGAAAUAGCAUUCCAAGUGGUGUUUUGAGCAUUAGCCUAGCCCUUACGUGUCUAUUUUCUCCAAAAUAUAUUUUAGCUACCUUACUCUGUGAAUAUUAUUUAUAAUAACGUUUCUCAAACUUGAGUAAUGCAUGUAUAGCAUUAAAGAAAACUUCUUCAAACUCCCAGGACUGGGAAAAUAUUUUUAAUCACAUUUUAGUUAAUCAUACAUAAGUUUAAAAGUAGGUACAAUCUCAAAGUAGUAUCAUUCUUAUAAAAUUACAAAUGAAAUAAAAACAAAACAAUAACAAAAUAUACAAAAUAGCUCUAGUUUAAAAUAACAAAUGAUGCUGCUUUCUUGAUACGGUAUUGUUUCUCUGACGUGUAUGGUAAUAUAUGUCAUAAUAUUAUAUUACAUGUGCACUUGUGUUGUUACAUGUACAGCAACUUUCCUACCAAAAUGUCUUUUCAAAUAUUUAAAGUUGGUAAUACAGGACAUUUUGAAAUUAUUUGGCCUUCAUUUAGCAUGAUGGAACAUAAUAAGUCCAAUAAAUUUAAAAUAUAGUGUACUGUGCCAAAAUGAUUACACAUGCAAAUAGAAAAGCAGACAUUGGAACUGGCUGGUCAUAUUUCAUUAAAUAUUUUAGAUUAUUAUUGACAUCAAAACAAAAAAUAAGAAUUGUCAGUCAACCACUAUACUCCUAAUUUCUGGAGAUUUUAUAAUCUUAACCUGAAACAUAGUUUGUAUGGGAAAAUGCAGUCCAAAUUUAAAACUAGAUUAUUAGAAUUGAUAUGCUCCAUACAGAUGUCUCAGAAGUGGACCUGGGCAUAGUCACAAUGCUGAACUCUAUCUCUUAGUAAGUGGCUAUAUCUGCAGAACCCAAGCAUCAUCUUUAAUCAACUCUUCCUAGUUGAUGCCACUAUAAAUUAGGGAACAGACCCUAAAUACACACCACCCCAUCUCUUGAUUUCUUAUGGAGUUGACCCACAAAUUUCCCGCUUAUAGAAGACCUAGUCCCUAUUCUUAAAUCUAAUAAUCAUAAAGAUUUAGAGAGAGGAUGGAUCUCAAACUAUAAUCUUAGUCUUCUGAAUUUAGGUCAGUCAGAGUCCAAUAAGAAGCUGUCUAUUCUCAUCAAACAAUGACAAACUCCAAAGGUCAUUCAGGGAAAACAUAAAUCAUAAAGCAAAGAAAAUAUUUUUAAAAGUUUUAAGGGAGGAAGAGGCAAAACAAAAUGAACAGGUAGCUGAUGCUAGCAUGCAAUUGUUCAGAUGCCUGGGUUUGCCAAUUGAUCAGUCUCAUACAAAUCAACAUGGGAGCUAUCACUAAAGGUUGAUAUCAUCUCAUCAAGUAAGGCCAAGUUAGCAAUAUCUAAUUUUUGUACCAGAUGAGGCAGUCAGAAAAAUGUGUGAGCUGAAUCUUUUUCAGAAGCCAAAAAUGAGUCUGAAUAGAAGCAUAUAACCUAGACAUUCAGCAGGCUUCUUCCAGUGACAGCUCUACAUGUAGACACAAAGCAUACUUAUCUUCUCUCUAUACGCACACACAUGUGUAUCCAAUUUAAUAUGCUGCAUGAGAAAUAAUAUACAUUUCAAAAUAAUAUACAUGUCAAAAAGCCUGAAUGGUGCUUUUGGAGGCAGAAAGAAACUCAUAUUUUGCUUAAAAUUUUAUUUAUUUAUUUAUUUAGUCUUUUGCCUUUUUAGGAGCACACCGGUAGCAUAUGGAGGUUCCCAGGCUAGGGGUUGAAUCAGAGCUGCAGCCACUGGCCUACGCCACAGCCACAGCAACGUGGUAUCUGAGCCACAUCUGCAACCUACACCAUAGUUCACUGCAACGCCAGAUAAGGCCCACAUCCUCGUAGAUACUAGUCAGAAUAUUUAAACUUGUUUGGCAAAUAUGGUAGUUUAGCUUAGCUUGUUGAGUAUUCACCAAGAUAUCCAAAACAAACAUGCAUGUUUCUAAACCCCUCCCUGAACAAGAUUUUUGUUCUUUCCAUUAUCUAUACAUUCCAAAAGGAUCACACAUACACAUAUAUAUACAGAAAUGAUAGGCUAACUAUAAACACACCAACAAAUUGGGAAUUCACAGGUGACCUCUGACACAAAUGGUUAUUUUAUCGGACCCAAAUAUCUCACAUGUUAUGCAAUUCAGAUUAACUCAAAAGAAACAUGCAGUCAAUACAGGCAGCUGAGGUUAAGCUUUUAGCUUGAUCUCUUUGAUUUUUCCCUUUCAUUUCCGAAUGACACAAGUCAGAUUCCUUCCCUUCUGAGAUUUUCUCAUCAAACUCUGAUUUUUUUUCUGUUUCAAACAAGUCCUUGAUAUACUGUCCAUACCCUCCAUCGCCUCUGGCAUUUCUCUGUGCCUCCCUCAAAGAUUGCCAGGAGGUGAAGGUGCCAGGUCUUAGGCACAGACUCCUCCUCUGGCACAGUGCCCAGAGCUACAAAGGGCUUCCCCGGUGGUAAAAACAAACCACAGAGUAAAUUUAAUAUCAGGAACAUAUUUCUGUGGUCACUGAAAUUUGCUCAAACUCAUUGAAAUCAAGUCUCUGACUCAUGGACUCAAAAAUCAGACUUAAUGUUGUUUUAAGGUAGUAAAUUCUCCUGAUUAAAAGUCGAUGAUCUACCUGACAUGCUAUUAAUUGCUGAAGAUUAAUUAGACCAGGAAUAAGAAAAUGAGAAUGAAAACAACCUAAGUUCACAUAUGAUCAAUGAUAUAUUCUUCACAUUACAAUUGCUUCACAGGAUAUAUUAUCUUCGUCCACCUGUCAGACCAUCAACGAAAGCCUCCUGCAUCUAAGGGCAAUAAGCAAAACGGCAGGCAACAUCAUAUAAAAAUACCAGCAGGAAGUACAUUUGUUGUGGCAGCAAAUGUUACAUCCUUAUUAUCAGGAGAUAUUACCUGAAUGUCAUCACUAUAAAGCCCUUUCCAUUUGCUAUAAUUUGUUACAGAAUAAAGGGGUUUGUGAUAACAACCAGGUGAGGCACAGCAUGGAAGAUGUGCAACCGUGUCAUUCCAAAAUGAAAAUAAUUUAUUGCUUUAGAGCAGUCUAUUCAAAUAAUGGCUGAAGCCCACCAUUCCACUGCAUUAUUAUCAGGCCACAGCCUUCUGCACAGAAAUGUGUUAGCCAAAUUGUUCUCCAUCACUAAACUAUGCAUUUAGGAUUUAUGUGAGGUGAAUAAAUUACUCAAAAAGAAUCACCUCCUCAAAAAUAUCAAUGCUAAGUUGAAACUGUAAUCAUUUGAUGCUAAUAUGUGUAGUGUGGUUACAGAGAGAUACCAUUUCUGUGAAAUCUAAAGAGAAAAGCUAAUAAACCACUUUCAUCUAGCUUUAAUUGAGACUGCUUUUCCGCUGACGAAACUGCUAGCUAAAGCACAGAUUUAAUAAAGAUUUAGUUCUUAAAGUCUAUAUCCCCCCAAACGAACAAUUUCUAAGACAUCAAAAGUGCCCUGUCAUGUGGCAUAAGCUCUGGUAAAUACCUUUUAUUACAUUCAACAGAAAAAUGGACUAUUUAAAUAAACUUCAGGCAAUCAGAAUCAUACACCUGCCUCUUUGCCUACUUUUCUGUUAGAAAAAAUUGCCAAGUUAUAAAUGAGAGCCUAGCAUGCGGCACUCUCUAUAAACACUGUGUGCCUCUGGGAUUUAGGUGAGAGCUAGCUUUGGAAACAUUUCCAAUUACAACACUCCUUUAAAGGUAUAAAUUGGAUUUGUCUUCAUACUUCUGGAAAAUACAGGCAAAUAAUCUACUUUGUAGCCUCAGGCUCAAUAAGUUUCUUUUCCCUUUCUUGUUUCCACUUUAUUUUUGUUUUUGUUUUGGGGAAAUCACAAGUAAACAGAACAGAAAGGAAGAGCUCUUUCUUGAUCAUCAAGAUAGAAAAUAAUAUAAAAAUAUGACACUGUACCUCAGAAAUGGAUUUCAUUUCCAAGAACACUUCAGCUUUGCCCUGAUACACUGUUGGUAGCUGACCACCCCCUGAGUUUUCAUUGACAGCUCCCUGCAUUUUAAGUGAAAUCCCUACCGCCUGCUCAUACAGUAUUGCACCCACUGUGCAGUCAAAUGUCUUACUGGGCUGAAAGGUACAAAGUACAACCUGGGAUGCCUUCGUGAUAAUAUCUGAGCAGACGAACACACUCCCUGGAAUUACAUGGGGCAAUUUGUGUGACAUAUAGUUUCCUGUCUCAGGUGCCAGAAUAUAUAUAUUUUGUGACUCAUAUUGGUGAUCUACUGAUUUAGUUCAACCCCAGUUGAUUUGGAGAAUUAUAUGCAUUAAUAAACUGGUGAUUCAAAUUCUUGUCAAGAAAAAGUAGCCAGUAUGCUUUAAUCUGGAGUUAAUCUGGAACAAAAGAUAAAAUUAUUCAACCAAAAUAACGAAAAGAGUCCUUGACAAAGUCCUAUCCAAACAUAAUCUAACUUUAAAAUAGGUUUAUGGCUCAUUUUUGUAAAUGAAAAGUAGCAAACUUAUUACCCUUCUAGUUAAGCAAUGUUUGUUCCUCAAAAAUUGUGUGUGUGAACCAAUAUUUUUCUAAAUAAACCUAUCUUUAAGAUAACAGUAAUAAUCUGCCACAUUAUCAUCUUCACCUUGAAUAUAAACCUUUACAGUCUUGAAGCAAUUCAUGCACAGAUUACCUCAUUUGCUUAUCAUGUUAAACCUUCAAGGUUCAGAAACUAUCAUUUAUAGUUCUCUAAAGGGACUCUCUGCUAAGUCAUUUCUUGAAACCAAAAUCAUUUUGCAAAUUAAAGAUUCUUGAUUCCAUAUAAUCUACAUAUAAAAUAUUAAAUACAUAAAUUAAAAUUAUUACAACACUUCUUAGUUUAAAUAUAACCAAAAUCCACUUGAAUUAUAGCAUUGGUUUGUAGAUGCAAACUAUUGCAUUUGGAGUGACUAAGCAAAGAAAUCCUGCAGUAUAACACAGGGAACUAUAUCAAAUCACUUGUGAUGGAACAUGAUGGAGGAUAAUGUGAGAAAAAGAACAUAAUAUCUGUAUAAAUGGGUCACUUUGUUGUACAGCAGAAUUUGACAGAACAUUAUAAAUCA
rnacentral:lncRNA from 1 species